CUUUCUUUCUUUCUUUCUUUCGUUCCUGUUUCUUCAUCUUCUUCUUCUUCUUCUUUUUCUUCUUCUUUUUCUUCUUCUUCUUCUUCUUCUUCUUCAUAUUCUUCUUUUUCUUCUUUUACUACUUUCGAUGCCUGCCAGUCCACUUGUCGAACGUUUCGCAAGAUAUCAAAGAGUACCGAGAGCUCGCGUUUUCAAACAGUUGCGAGCAUCGUCCACGCAAAAUGGCAGCCGAUUAUACUCGCUCGUCGCUUAUAAAGAAGCACCUAUUUUCCCUUUUACAACAAACUGUCAUAAGUAUCGUACAAAAGUUCGACUCGAAGAAAUUGACGCCUCGUUAAAGCGCAACAUGCACGCACGAUGCACGAAUAGAUAUCGAACUUCGUUAUGAAGUUUCUCGAACAUAAAUUCCAUGUUGUCGUCGGGAGUUCAAUCGUGGUGUUGAACGUUUAUACGUCCUGCGCUAACAGCCGCAACUAAUCGGUCAAUCAACGUCUAAUAAUCGAGGUGUACUUAUUGCUGAAGUAAAAGUAAUCGUGCUUUUCUAGAUAGAAAUUAUUUUCUUAUUAUCUAAUGAUUUUAUCCAUCACAUAAACGAUUGAAUUUACAAUAAUAUAGGAAUUGAUGAAAAAGAGGUAAAUGUCGUAAAUUUUGUUUAUUCUUUAGAUGACGUUUAAUAAUUACUUUCUUACCAUCAAGAAUGACUCGUAAAAAAAUAUAUACAUGCAUAUAUUGUAUAUAUAUACAAUUACAUAUAAAAAUAUGUAUAUAUAUACACACACACGCGCACAUUUAGUUAGCAAAGCAGUGAAACCGAAGUAUUGCACUUACAUGAUUACGAAGAAAACGGUGGAAGAGGCAGCGCAAAAAAUAGGAAAUGAUUUUCUGCCACGUCGGAGUCCAGCCGUGCAUCUCUUAUUUAUUGCGAACCAUAAAGAAGCUCUUGCGUGAGUUCACACGAGCACGAACUUUACACGCGUAACGUCCGUUUUAAUUCGUCCACCCUUCCUUCGUGUCUUCAUGGCUUAAUUUUGUACGUCGAAGGCGAGCUCGUGCUCGCUAUCGACAAGCACAACCAUAAUUUCAUAUGUAAAUAAACUCACCGAUUAUCUCGAUGGUAGAUGUACGAGAAUUAAUUAAAAACCAAAAAAAAAAAAAAGGAAAAUGAAUAAAAAAUCGAAGAUGGUCGAUUAUAAAAAAAAAAUAAAUAAAUAAAAAUAAAAAAGAAAAGUAAUAAAGUUCUGAAAUAUUCAAAGAGAAGGACAAAGAUUAACGUCAAAUGAUUUUAGCGCUUAAACUUUUUACGUUGUUCGACGUAAAACGUAAGUGAUCAUUAUGGCAUUGGUAUCUAACGAGUAAAUCAGAGGUAGGUGUAUAAAAAAGAGUAAAAUCACUUCGUGAAACAAGCAAGACUGUGUAACCAACUCGCCGCAAAAGGCCGACUGGUCGAAGUAACGCUCGGAAAGCUGAAACUGACAACAUAAUAAUUUCAACGUUUUCUAUCGUCGCUUCUCACGCGUAUCUCGCGUUUAUUUGCAUACGAUAUUGCAAACGGACGCAUAACAGAGAGACGCGCGUUCAACGAUCAACGCGCAAACACGCGAGAGCCAACGAGUGAAACGGAGUGUUCGAGAAAUUACCAUAGUUAAUCACGCUACUCUGUUCUUUCUUUCUCCCCUAACACUGUAUUCAUUAUAAUGUUUCUUUAUAUAAGUUACACACGACUCUCCUUCUUCUCUUCUUCCAAUUAGCCUUUGCGAUAAACGACGAUGAUUUUCUAGAAGCACGAUCUUACUUUGCCGACUCUACAUAAUAUCUCAAAACUACGUGAAUCAUUUUUCUCGAAUGGUAGACAUGUUAAAAUUCUUUAAAUAAAAUCAAACACAUAUAAUUUUUGCGGAAAGAGCUGAUGACUUUACCAACCAUGCAUUUGCCACGAAAAAAAAAACGAAAAAAUUGUAUAACGGUAGAGAGCUAAAAGAUACAGAGAGAAAGAGAGAGAGAGAGAGAGCCCAUUGUGGUCCCUUUUUCGGUGUAAAGUCGUGCUGUCGUAAAAGUGCAGCCGGUGGAAAACGGACAAGGCGGGAGGAUAGAAGAGGGAGAAAGAGAUAGAAAGAAAAAAGAAAGAUAGAGAGAGUGAGAGAGAAAGAGAGUAGACGAAAAAGAGGGUAAAAAAAUGUUUAAUGUUUGAGGAAGGGGUGUUCUCUAUCGCUCUCUCUCUCUCUCUCUCUCUAUUUUUUAUCUCUCUCUCUUUCUCUAUAUCUAUCUCUAUCUCUCUCUCUUUUUUUCUCUCUCAUUCUCUGUCUCCAUCUUCAUCGAAAACGAAAGCCCAUUCGACAUCCUUCGAUGUCGGUAGGGGUUGCGUCGCGCUCCGUAGAUUCUUUCGAUGGUGCAAUUGUGUGCCUCGUCGAACGCGUGCUUGGUUCGUGCCAUGCGUUUUUCUUCUCUCUCUCUCUCUCUCCCUCUCUCUCUUUCUUUCUCUCCCUCUCUCUCUUUCUUUCUCUCCCUCUCUCUGUUCCCUUCGUAGGUAGCUAAACGCGUGUGCCGAGGAGGAGAGUUUAGAGUUUAGACGGUACGGGACAGACGCAGAUGCUCGACCAACGAACGCCGGCAGCCGGCGUUGAAGCUUGUAGGGGUGACGGAUGGGUAAAAGUAACUCGCAUUAUCAUAAUGGCGAACGACGAGAAGAACGCUCGGAUGCUGCGCGGUACUUUCGAACGUGAUCACCUGCGGACUCGCCUCGUUCCAAACGAUUUUUAUUAUAUUCGUACGUCCAACGAUGUUCGUAUCCCGUAUAAUACAAUGCUGAUAUGUUUCUUCGAGCCGAUACUACCUACCAACGUUUCCAGGCAGAGUUCAAAAGAACGAAUGGGUGGCUCUAUCGAUCCGACUCUCUGACAAGAAAUAAGGAAACCGUCCCUGCGAUAUAUUCCCAUCUUUUGUCUUUCCUUCGUAAACGUUUAGAUCAAAUGGAAUUCACUCAAUCUAGUUUAUGUAUAACUACAUAUAUAAGAGUUAUAUCUUCAUAUAUCUUUUGAAAAAGAAGAUUUGAUAUUGUCCAAUCCGAUUUUUAAAGUCUUUUUAAAAAAUAACUCUAAACAAGUAUUAAUGGUAUAUUCUCCCAUCGUCAAUGACGGACUGUAAGGUUUAAAAAAGAAAUUAUUUUUAUUUCUUCUGUCUCGAAAUAAACAUAUAAAUCAUCCGUAUUAUUUUAAAUCCUAUAUGAUAUUCUAUCAUUCGAAGUGUAAAAUAAACGAAUUCGAAAUGAAAAAUUUUCACUUUUCUAGAAAAUGGGUUCCAUCGUCGAUUGUUUGAGAAAAUGUUAAAUUGUACUGAUAUCAUCCGUGAUCGAAAGCCUUUGGAAUUUACGAAAUAAAAUUCUUGGCCGGAUUUCAAAUCCGGGUCGAUGGAUCCGUAGAAAGCACUCUAUCAUUGUAACAUCCGUAUACACAGAAUUCAGAACACAGAACAAGGAUCACGGAACGCAGAAUUCAGAACACUGACCAUAGAUCACAAAUCACAAUUACAAAUCACUAAAUCAAUGCAUUUCUAAUAUAACCAACUUUAUAAUUUCCUUCUCUCACUUUCUCUUUCCCUCUCUCUCUCUCUCUCUCUCUCUCUCUCUCUCUCUCUCUCUCUUUUUCUCUUUCAAUCGUUUAAAGCAUUGUAGUCUAUUUUGUAGAUAAUAUUUUCGUAAGUUAAGUAAUUUAAAUUUUUCGUCGUAUCAUAAAGAGCAAUUGUACAAAAUUUCAUUUAAAUUGAAUAAAAAUAGUAAAUGUU